GUUGCUUGCAUGCAGCUCAUCAACUGACAGAGGGAAGCCUCGGGUAUCUAUUAAUACCUGGGUUUCCUAGUGUGAGCAGAGAUUUAACCCUGCUCACACUACAUUGCUGUCUAUAGGGAUUUAAAUCUCCAUUAAAAGAGCUGCUUGCCGACCUCACUUUGAGCUCUGCACGCAGCUCAUCAGAAAACCAUUGGGCCACUAAAAAUGGC